ACAGCAGCAGCCGCGGUAAUACGAAGGGGGCUAGCGUUACUCGGAAUUACUGGGCGUAAAGGGCGCGUAGGCGGCACGAUUAGUCAGGCGUGAAAUUCCUGGGCUCAACCUGGGGACUGCGCUUGAUACGGUCGAGCUAGAGGAUGGAAGAGGGUUGUGGAAUUCCCAGUGUAGAGGUGAAAUUCGUAGAUAUUGGGAAGAACACCGGUGGCGAAGGCGGCAACCUGGUCCAUUACUGACGCUGAGGCGCGAUAGCGUGGGGAGCAAACAGGAUUAGAUACCCGCGUAGUCCCUGUCUCUUAUAC
rnacentral:rRNA from 1 species